rnacentral:rRNA from 1 species
AAGUGGGGAUGAUGUCAAGUCAGCAUGGCCUUUAUAUCCUGGGCUACACACACGCUACAAUGGCCAACACAAUAGGUUGCUAAGCCGCGAGGUGGCGCCAAUCCAUAAAGUUGGUCUCAGUUCAGAUUGUAGGCUGCAACCCGCCUGCAUGAAGAUGGAGUUGCUAGUAACCGCAGGUCAGCUAUACUGCGGUGAAUACGUUCCCGGGCUU